rnacentral:rRNA from 1 species
UGGGGAAUAUUGCACAAUGGGGGAAACCCUGAUGCAGCGACGCCGCGUGAGCGAAGAAGGUUUUCGAAUCGUAAAGCUCUGUCCUAUGAGAAGAUAAUGACGGUAUCAUAGGAGGAAGCCCCGGCUAAAUACGUGCCAGCAGCCGCGGUAAUACGUAUGGGGCGAGCGUUGUCCGGAAUUAUUGGGCGUAAAGGGUACGUAGGCGGUCUAUUAAGUCAGGUGUGAAAGCGUGAGGCUUAACCUCAUUAAGCACUUGAAACUGAUAGACUUGAGUGAAGGAGAGGAAAGUGGAAUUCCUAGUGUAGCGGUGAAAUGCGUAGAUAUUAGGAGGAAUACCGGUGGCGAAGGCGACUUUCUGGACUUUUACUGACGCUCAGGUACGAAAGCGUGGGGAGCAAAUAGG